rnacentral:lncRNA from 1 species
GUUUACCUACUUAAAAACCACUUGAUAUGAAAGGAAACUUUUCUACAAAGUAAUCUUGCAGAAUAAGCUCCAGAAGCUGCCAAUACUCCAUCAUGACUUGGAUGAUUUUUCGAAUCCAGAAUUAAUGGCUUCUAAUGCAUCUGAAAAGGUAGAAUACAGCUGAAUCAGUUCACUCUUGCGCACGUCAUUAACAUGUAUUAAGGAAUACUGCAAAAUCUAGACGAGAAUGGAGAAACUAAUUACAAACAGGAAAAAAGAAGUAUUCCAUGGAUAGGCAAACUCUCUGUCGAUCAUACAUGUAUGACAAGCAGAAGUAACGGCUAUACGUUGCCGGUUGAAUCCACCCACAACAUAAAUAAAGAUAUACCAAGUAGUUUCAUUCUCUGACACAAAAUCUGCAGAAUAGUUUGUCAUGAGGUUUCUAACUAUGAUUGAUAAACAUAAAUAGAGGUUUAUUAGGCCGGAUUCUACUAACUGCAUCGCCAACACAGGGAUGAUGCACGGCUGUCAACUGCGAAAGAUGCCAAAGCGCACAAAUAAAAGAGGCCACUGAGCCCAACCCGUGACCCAGCACCAAACAGUGCACACGGACGAAAAGAUGGCCUCCGAGUCCAGUCAUGACCCAGCACCGAUAAAUGUGCACGGAACAAAACAAAUGCAGUGAAAAGAUCCCCUACGAGGGCACAGUCGUAAAAAAAUAGUGCAAUUGCAUCCCCUGGGUUGGCACGUGCUAUACAUUAGCACGGGGCUUUUUGUUCAAAUUCCUUUUUUAAAGAUUUUUUCAACACAACACCUCUUGUAUCCUUGCCUUGUCGGUUGUCGCUCAUCACUUGAACAACUCCAGCACCGCCACCGUCGCCGGGAUGCAGCUCUAACAGCAAAAACCGGAAGCCAACCAUGGCGACUAGCGUGUCUGGCUGCAGCGGCCAUGGAGAGGAGCGCUUGAAGCCAGCCAUGGUGUUCAAUCGCAGCUGCCGUGAGGUUCAUGAGCCAUAUCCGGACCUCCUGCAGCAAUCAGAAUCGAGAAAAAAUUCAGUAACAUAUUGCUGUCUCUGGAUUCAGAAAUGCCUAAAGCAAGAAUUACAUCGAACUUCAAAUAAGAAACACGGACUUCCCUUAUUCAAAAUGAAAGUAAUUUCCAACGGAAAUAACAGCCCUACAAAUUCAAAUAAGAAACACCAAGGAAAAAAAGCCUGCCUAUGAAACGGCCCUGUUCCGUUCCUUGGAGUCUGCCUAUGCUCUCCGCGCUCUUGCCCUUUGCCAGAUUAGAUCAAUGUUCAGCAUCAGUAAUAGUACGGCAGCAGAAUUUUAACUUGCCUAAAAUAAAGUCUACUGCUUGGUGAGAAAAUGUAGCAGUAGCAAACGAAACCUCAAGCAGAUUAAACAUUUACUACAGUACAUGGACUUCUCGUAACCACAGAAUUACCAGGCCAUCAGUAACAACUUGGCAGAACAUGAGAAAAUGUCAAAGACAAGGAUCACCAUUUUCAGAAAAUAUAAACAGUGAGCAUAUUACAGAAGUUAGAAGUAAUGUAAACAGUGAGCAUACAGCUAGCUCUACUGUCACCAACUAGGAUAAUUACUGAUGCUUCACAUUCACUUCCAUGUCAAUCACUUAAGUGGAGAUAAAACUGAAACUUCCUUGCUAUAACAACCACAACAUAUUAACAAAAAUGAGCGAUGCAGCACUAUACCUACUAAGAAAAUCCAUCAACACGCACACACUCAUCAGAUUCCGACACAAUAUAUAUGUAUCCCACAUGACUGAGUUACAUGUGUGGAUGUGCUUCCAUACAGCCAGCAAUCAAGACAUCCUCAUGUCCCUUAAGCAAGACAGGACUUGCACAAUGGUUGAAUGUGAAAGAUAUUCUCGUGAAAAUAUCUCUCGCGGCCUGCAGUGAGAAAAUAGAACAAAUUAUCCAACUGCAUAGCAUAUUCCUAUUCUCGUCUAGCUAUUAAAAUGUAAAACAGAAAAUAAUUAUCAGGUGUUCAUAGUCUAAAAUCUGUUGCUUAUACUAUUUACCUGUAUCAACAUGUACUGAUAAAAUGCCAUGGAUAUUUGCACAGCUAUCAAGCAAAACAGCAUCAUAUAUAACUUCCAUAUUUGCACAGCUAUCAACUAAAGCAGCAUUAUAUAUCAACCCAG